GCCAAUGUAGCUCAGGGGUAGAGCACUUCCAUGGUAAGGAAGGGGUCGCGAGUUCAAAUCUCGCCAUUGGCUCUA
rnacentral:tRNA from 1 species